rnacentral:lncRNA from 1 species
UUUAAAACGAAAUUUCGUACUUUCUCUUAGAACUUUUGGAAAAUAAAACGAUUUUUCGAUGGAGAGCGACGAAAAGCCAGCGGUUGAAGCUUUGCAGGGAAGAUUAAACAGUUUGAACAUCGAAGACGGUAAGAAAUAUUUAAAUAAUGGUUGUAAAAUUGCAUCUAAACACACUAAAUUGCAUUUGCCUCGACAAAAUUGAAUAUAUAUUUAUAUGUAUCAUGAUGACACUAUUAGUUCAGUUGUUUAUACACUCAACAGACAAGGCUGGUUCCAUUAAGGUAAUUUUCCUUUGCAGUCGCUUUGCCCGUGCGGGUGGAGCAACAAAUUCCAAUCGCAUGAAAAAUCAGUUGUGUGGGCACGCCAAGAAAGUUGAAUGUAGUUCCACUUUCAUGGCAUGUCCGUGAGCAAUCAGGACAAAAAAUGCACCGGUUAGACAACUACAGAGAAAGUUGAAUAAUGUUUGCUCCGCCCACGCAGGCAAAGUGACUGCAAUGGAAAAUUGCCUUGCUGUCGCAGGCGAAGCGAACAAAAUGAUACCGGUACGUCAAAUGUGCAUACAAAAAUCAAUCUCCAUUGAUUUUAAUGCAUUUGACAAAACCAACAUAUACAGUCAAAUCCGGUGUUCCGUUGCCAGCAAUAUUGAUCGACAAAUUGCAAUUUUUACGUGUUGUCGAAAGGUCGCGCCCAAAUGUCAGAUGCCAAGUAUUUGAUUGGGUUGUUUUGUACUAGUAGCCAAUCAGGCUUUAUUGAUUCUGCGUUAAUAAAAUCCACCAACUUUAUGCAGAUGCAAAUGAGGAAACGAAAAAGAAAACUGAAGAAAGUACUACAGGAUGGAAAUCCAAGGAUGGCGUCGAAGAUUUAAAAGCAAAAUUUCAAGAUUUAACUCGUAGAGCAAAACAAGAAGCGCAUGACGGAGAUUUAGAGGAAAGUUUAAAAUUAUACAAGAAAGCAUACAAAAUACACAAGAGCGAAAAAGUGGCUAAAAGAAUUGAAAAGUUGGAG